GAUGAACGCUAGCUACAGGCUUAACACAUGCAAGUCGAGGGGAAACGAUAUUGGAAGCUUGCUUCCGAUAGGCGUCGACCGGCGCACGGGUGAGUAACGCGUAUCCAACCUGCCCAUCACUUGGGGAUAACCUUGCGAAAGUAAGACUAAUACCCAAUGAUAUCUCUAGAAGACAUCUGAAAGAGAUUAAAAGAUUUAUCGGUGAUGGAUGGGGAUGCGUCUGAUUAGCUUGUUGGCGGGGUAACGGCCCACCAAGGCGACGAUCAGUAGGGUUCUGAGAGGAAGGUCCCCCACAUUGGAACUGAGACACGGUCCAAACUCCUACGGGAGGCAGCAGUGAGGAAUAUUGGUCAAUGGGCGAGAGCCUGAACCAGCCAAGUAGCGUGCAGGAUGACGGCCCUAUGGGUUGUAAACUGCUUUUAUAAGGGAAUAAAAGUGAGUCUCGUGAGACUUUUUGCAUGUACCUUAUGAAUAAGGACGGCUAAUCCGUGCCAGCAGCCGCGGUAA
rnacentral:rRNA from 1 species